rnacentral:rRNA from 1 species
GAUGAACGCUAGCUACAGGCUUAACACAUGCAAGUCGAGGGGCAGCAUGGUCUUGGCUUGCUAAGGCCGAUGGCGACCGGCGCACGGGUGAGUAACACGUAUCCAACCUGCCGUCUACUCUUGGACAGCCUUCUGAAAAGGAAGAUUAAAUACAAGAUGGCAUCAUGAGUCCACAUGUUCACAUGAUUAAAGGUAUUCCGGUAGACGAUGGGGAUGCGUUCCAUUAGAUAGUAGGCGGGGUAACGCCCACCUAGUCUUCGAUGGAUAGGGGGUUCUGAGAGGAAGGUCCCCCACAUUGGAACUGAGACACGGUCCAAACUCCUACGGGAGGCAGCAGUGAGGAAUAUUGGGUCAGUGGACGAGAGUCUGAACCAGCCAAGUAGCGUGCAGGAUGACGGCCCUAU